rnacentral:snoRNA from 1 species
UGCCGGUGAUGUGUUAAUAUUGCACGUAUUAUCAGAAGAAUGCAUGUUGAAUGCUUUUUGUCACUACCUCUGAGGCA